rnacentral:rRNA from 1 species
UGAAAACUUAAAAUUUAAAAGACUUGACGGUACUUCACACCGACCUAGAGGAGCCUGUCUAAUAACCGAUAACCCACGAUUAACCCAACCUUUUCUAGCCAAACAGUCUAUAUACCGCCGUCGCCAGUUUACCUCCUGAGAGAAAAAAAGUAAGCCCAACAGCAACCACUAAUACGACAGGUCGAGGUGUAAUUAAUGAAAAGGACCAAGAUGGGCUACAUUUUCUAAUACAGAAAAAACGAAUAAACUAUGAAACUAGAAACUGAAGGCGGAUUUAGCAGUAAGAAUAGAACAAAAUACUUAUCUGAAGUUAACGCAAUGAAGUGCGC